GGUGCAAUGAAGUCAAUCUGAAGUCACCACAGAAUACGAUAAACGCAAACAGCAUCUUCUAGCGCUGGGCUGGAUCAAGAUUACUCAUCUGGGACUCCUUGCAGUCCAUUUCCUGCAGAUGCCACAGGUUUCCUCCAGACUUUUUGGUGAAGAAAUGCUUAGAAAUAACAUUCCAGGAGCAACUGAGUGCAAGCUGGAAUGGUAUCGCCUCACUUUUCUACAUCCCAUCUAGCUCACUAAAUGCUCUUCAGUACAAAACACGUGUGCAACACGUCUUUCAGGGGGUGCCUAACCGCAUGCCUCCCUGUUGCACCUCCACGGCCAGUGCACCUCAGUCUUUGGGUAAUGGCAAUUCAGACCACAAUAAUUUUCUUGAGGUAAUUGAAAACUAUUGUAAACAAAACCUUCUCAGCAAGCUUCAUGUCAACGUGUCAAAGUGGUGAUUGUUUUACAUUUGCAGUUGCGCCGCAGCAACAUGCAGAGUGCGAUUUCUUCCC
rnacentral:lncRNA from 1 species